UACGUAGGGUGCAAGCGUUGUCCGGAAUCAUUGGGCGUAAAGCGCGUGUAGGCGGUCCGGUAAGUCUGCUGUGAAAGUCCAGGGCUCAACCCUGGAAAGCCGGUGGAUACUGUCGGGCUAGAGUCCGGAAGGGGAGAGUGGAAUUCCUGGUGUAGCGGUGAAAUGCGCAGAUAUCAGGAGGAACACCAAUGGCGAAGGCAGCUCGCUGGGACGGUACUGACGCUGAGACGCGAAAGCGUGGGGAGCAAACAGG
rnacentral:rRNA from 1 species